CCCAGACUCCUACGGGAGGCAGCAGUGGGGGAUAUUGCGCAAUGGGGGAAACCCUGAUGCAGCGACGCCGCGUGGGCGAAGAAGUAUUUCGGUAUGUAAAGCCCUAUCAGCAGGGAAGAAGAAAUGACGGUACCUGAGUAAGAAGCACCGGCUAAAUACGUGCCAGCAGCCGCGGUAAUACGUAUGGUGCAAGCGUUAUCCGGAUUUACUGGGUGUAAAGGGGGCGCAGACGGCGAUGCAAGCCAGGAGUGAAAGCCCGGGGCCCAACCCCGGGACUGCUCUUGGAACUGCGUGGCUGGAGUGCAGGAGGGGCAGGCGGAAUUCCUGGUGUAGCGGUGAAAUGCGUAGAUAUCAGGAGGAACACCGGUGGCGAAGGCGGCCUGCUGGACUGCAACUGACGUUGAGGCCCGAAAGCGUGGGGAGCAAACAGGAUUAGAUACCCUAGUA
rnacentral:rRNA from 1 species